GACGAACGCUGGCGGCGUGCUUAACACAUGCAAGUCGAACGGAAAGGCCCUGCUUUUGUGGGGUGCUCGUGUGGCGAACGGGUGAGUAACACGUGAGUAACCUGCCCUUGACUUUGGGAUAUCUUCAGGAAACUGGGGCUAUUACCGGAUAGGAGCUCCUGCUGCAUGGUGGUGGUUGGAUAGUUUCGGCGGUUGGGGAUGGACUCGCGGCUUAUCAGCUUGUUGGUGUGGUAGUGGCUUACCAAGGCUUUGACGGGUAGCCGACAUGAGAGGGUGACCGGCGACAAUGGGACUAAGAUAGGGACCAGAAGGGUACGGGAGGCAGCAGGGGGGAAUAUGACACAAUGGGCGGAAGCGAGAGGGAGAAACGCCGCGAGCGGGAAGACGGCCUACGGGUGGAAAACCGCUGUCGAAUGUGACGAAGCGUGAGUGACGGUAAUGGGUAAAGAAGCACCGGCUAACUACGUG
rnacentral:rRNA from 1 species